AAAAUUCAACGAUGCUCUUCAAAGUUGGUCUCUUCUAGCGCACGUAGAACUUUUCUUUUGAGAUUUGAAAAAACAUUAUUAAAAAGAAAAAAUUAAAAGAUUUAUUAAAAAGAUCAAAUUAUUUAUUGAGGAAGCAGCAUCAAAUUCAAAAAUUAGAGAGGCAUUCACAGCUGGAUAAUGCUGACAAUUUCUUUAUGGAUUGUUAAUAUCAGUGCACUGUUUGAAUUAAGUCUUGAGGAACAGUGAUUAUCAUCUGGUAAGACAUAAGGAUCUAGAGACAGUAAUGCCUACAGUAACUAGAGACAAUAACAGCAGAUAUAGAAGUGGAGUGAUUAAUAUUCUAAGAAUUAGAAAUGAAGAGGAUAAGAGAAAGAAAAUUCACAAGUAAUUCAUUUGUGAAAGAAAAUUCACAAAUUCAUUUGUACAAACUGCAAGCAUUUUAACAUCAAAUCCUUUUUGGUAAGUCUUUAUUUUUUCUGGCCAACUAGCACAUUCUUAGGUUAACCUUUCACCUCUGUGUAGGAUGAACAGCUAGUACUUCCUACAUAGGGUUCCAACUGGCAAUUGGGCCUCUUUACAAUUCUUACACAAAACACUUCAUUCCUUUUAUUACUGAUUGGCUAUAUAU